rnacentral:rRNA from 1 species
GCGCAGGCGGUCCUUUAAGUCUGAUGUGAAAGCCCACGGCUUAACCGUGGAGGGUCAUUGGAAACUGGAGGACUUGAGUACAGAAGAGGAGAGUGGAAUUCCACGUGUAGCGGUGAAAUGCGUAGAGAUGUGGAGGAACACCAGUGGCGAAGGCGACUCUCUGGUCUGUAACUGACGCUGAGGCGCGAAAGCGUGGGGAGCGAACAGGAUUAGAUACCCUGGUAGUCCACGCCGUAAACGAUGAGUGCUAGGUGUUAGGGGGUUUCCGCCCCUUAGUGCUGAAGUUAACGCAUUAAGCACUCCGCCUGGGGAGUACGGCCGCAAGGCUGAAACUCAAAAGAAUUGACGGGGGCCCGCACAAGCGGUGGAGCAUGUGGUUUAAUUCGAAGCAACGCGAAGAACCUUACCAGGUCUUGACAUCCUCUGACACCCCUAGAGAUAGGGCUUUCCCUUCGGGGACAGAGUGACAGGUGGUGCAUGGUUGUCGUCAGCUCGUGUCGUGAGAUGUUGGGUUAAGUCCCGCAACGAGCGCAACCCUUAUUCUUAGUUGCCAGCAUUUAGUUGGGCACUCUAAGGAGACUGCCGGUGACAAACCGGAGGAAGGUGGGGAUGACGUCAAAUCAUCAUGCCCCUUAUGACCUGGGCUACACACGUGCUACAAUGGAUGGUACAAAGGGCAGCGAAGCCGCGAGGUGAAGCUAAUCCCAUAAAACCAUUCUCAAUUCGGAUUGCAGGCUGCAACUCGCCUGCAUGAAGCCGGAA